CAUUCACGGAGAGUUUGAUCCUGGCUCAGGACGAACGCUGGCGGCGUGCUUAACACAUGCAAGUCGAACGAUGAACCGGUUUCGGCCGGGGAUUAGUGGCGAACGGGUGAGUAACACGUGGGCAAUCUGCCCUGCACUCUGGGACAAGCCCUGGAAACGGGGUCUAAUACCGGAUAUGACGCGUUCCCGCAUGGGAUACGUGUGGAAAGCUCCGGCGGUGCAGGAUGAGCCCGCGGCCUAUCAGCUUGUUGGUGGGGUGAUGGCCUACCAAGGCGACGACGGGUAGCCGGCCUGAGAGGGCGACCGGCCACACUGGGACUGAGACACGGCCCAGACUCCUACGGGAGGCAGCAGUGGGGAAUAUUGCACAAUGGGCGCAAGCCUGAUGCAGCGACGCCGCGUGAGGGAUGACGGCCUUCGGGUUGUAAACCUCUUUCAGCAGGGAAGAAGCGUGAGUGACGGUACCUGCAGAAGAAGCGCCGGCUAACUACGUGCCAGCAGCCGCGGUAAUACGUAGGGCGCAAGCGUUGUCCGGAAUUAUUGGGCGUAAAGAGCUCGUAGGCGGCUUGUCGCGUCGGAUGUGAAAGCCCGGGGCUUAACUCCGGGUCUGCAUUCGAUACGGGCAGGCUAGAGUUCGGUAGGGGAGAUCGGAAUUCCUGGUGUAGCGGUGAA
rnacentral:rRNA from 1 species